CGGUUGAUCCUGCCGGACCCCACUGCUAUCGGGAUGGGACUAAGACAUGCUAGUUAAGCGCCUUCCAGCCAUGUGGGAGGUGCAGCGCACAGCUCAGUAACACGUGGCUAACCUGCCCUUGGGACGAAAACAACCCCGGGAAACUGGGGCUAAUUCUCGAUAGGUGAAGAACUCUGGAAUGAGUCUUUGCCUAAAAGGUGUCGGAUCAUGCUUUCGGCAUCGCCCAAGGAUGGGGCCGCGACCGAUCAGGUAGUUGGUGAGGUAAUGGCUCACCAAGCCUUUUACCGGUGCGGGCCGUGAGAGCGGGAGCCCGGAGAUGGGCACUGAGACAAGGGCCCAGGUCCUACGGGGCGCAGCAGUCGCGAAACCUUUGCAAUACACGCAAGUGUGACAGGGUCAUCCCGAGUGCCGACCGCUGAGGUUGGCUUUUACCCAGUCUAGAAAGCUGGGGGAAUAAGGAGAGGGCAAGUCUGGUGUCAGCCGCCGCGGUAAUACCAGCUCUCCGAGUGGUGUGGACGUUUAUUGGGCCUAAAGCAUCCGUAGCUGGCUGAACAAGUCCCCUGUUAAACCCACCGAUUUAAUCGUUGGCGUGCGGGGGAUACUGCUCGGCUAGGGGACGAGAGAGGCAAGCGGUAUUCCCGGGGUAGGGGUGAAAUCCUAUAAUCCCGAGAAGACCACCAGUGGCGAAGGCUGCUUGCUAGAACGCGCCCGACGGUGAGGGAUGAAAGCUGGGGGAGCGAACCGGAUUAGAUACCCGGGUAGUCCCAGCUGUAAACGAUGCAGACUAGGUGUUUGGACGGCCACGUGCCGUUCUAGUGCCGCAGGGAAGCUGUUAAGUCUGCCGCCUGGGGAGUACGAUCGCAAGAUUGAAACUUAAAGGAAUUGGCGGGGGAGCACCACAAGGGGUGAAGCUUGCGGUUUAAUUGGAGUCAACGCCGGG
rnacentral:rRNA from 1 species